rnacentral:rRNA from 1 species
AACGAACGCUGGCGGCAGGCUUAACACAUGCAAGUCGAACGCCCCGCAAGGGGAGUGGCAGACGGGUGAGUAACGCGUGGGAAUCUACCCAGAACUACGGAACAACUGAGGGAAACUUCAGCUAAUACCCUAUACGCCCUACGGGGGAAAGAUUUAUCGGUUUUGGAUGAGCCGGCGUUAGAUUAGCUAGUUGGUGAGGUAAUGGCUCACCAAGGCGACGAGCUAUAGCUGGUCUGAGAGGAUGAUCAGCCACACUGGGACUGAGACACGGCCCAGACUCCGACGGGAGGAAGCAGUGGGGAACAUUGGACAAUGGGCGCAAGCCUGAUCCAGCCAUGCCGCGUGAGUGAUGAAGGCCUUAGGGUUGUAAAGCUCUUUCAGUGGGGACGAUAAUGACGGUACCCACAGAAGAAGCCCCGGCUAACUUCGUGCCAGCCGCCGCGGUAAGAC